AAAAUUUAUUGGUUAAUUGCCCCAUAUAAUCAGCUAAAAUUUUGAUAAACAGUGUAUGUUCAAGAAAGAGCAUUGUGACAUGAAGAAACAUAGAGUAACUUAAAUAUCAGACACCCAUUUGCCUGACAGUUGAAAUAAUAGGAAAUUCUAUCCAGGUGCAUAACAACACUAUAAAUCCAAUUUCAGACAUAGUGAUUGUUGGAUAACAAGUUAACAAACAUAUAUGAUUCACGGGUCAGAAGACCUUUCAGAGGUACAACUAUCACUCUGAGCAUUUGGUGCAAAUCUACCAACACUAGAAAGAACUAAAAAUGGAAACUAUUAACAGCAUUCAAAGUAUAUCAUAGGAGUCUAAUAAAAAGAUGAAAGCAUAUGGAAUAGUGUACUACGCAAACAUUUUGUCAACAUAGAAACAAACACAAUUGCACUAGCAAAGUCAUAUCUGGCAUGAUUCUACAGAUUAUAAGUAACUAAAUAAGAUUAACAUUUGCAGUUGAUGAGUGAUGCAUUAUUUCAUCAUAAAAUCAGGUGUGUUUCCUUGUUAAUAUUUUUUUUAGCACAAACCUGCCCCACAAUUGACCUGU
rnacentral:misc_RNA from 1 species